rnacentral:rRNA from 1 species
GACGAACGCUGGCGGCGUGCUUAACACAUGCAAGUCGAACGGAAAGGCCCUGCUUUUGUGGGGUGCUCGAGUGGCGAACGGGUGAGUAACACGUGAGUAACCUGCCCUUGACUUUGGGAUAACUUCAGGAAACUGGGGCUAAUACCGGAUAGGAGCUCCUGCUGCAUGGUGGGGGUUGGAAAGUUUCGGCGGUUGGGGAUGGACUCGCGGCUUAUCAGCUUGUUGGUGGGGUAGUGGCUUACCAAGGCUUUGACGGGUAGCCGGCCUGAGAGGGUGACCGGCCACAUUGGGACUGAGAUACGGCCCAGACUCCUACGGGAGGCAGCAGUGGGGAAUAUUGCACAAUGGGCGGAAGCCUGAUGCAGCAACGCCGCGUGCGGGAUGACGGCCUUCGGGUUGUAAACCGCUUUCGCCUGUGACGAAGCGUGAGUGACGGUAAUGGGUAAAGAAGCACCGGCGAACUACG